rnacentral:rRNA from 1 species
AUGGAGGUCGACUGCUUGGAGCUAGUUGAUCUAUGGAAAUCGCGCAGCAACACUCGAUCAGUUGCAGCGCCUAUCUUGAACGAAUUAGAGGAAAUCAGUGCUAUUUUUGCUUCAAUUUCUGUUACUCAUGUCAGUAGGGAAGGUAAUAUUCCGGCGCAUCAGUGUGCUCGUCUAGCUAGCACACUUGAUGGCACCAAGAGUUGGCUUGAUGCAAGCCCUGAGUUUCUAGUUUCUUGCCUGCGGGCAGAUUAUAACACUAUGAUAUUACGUUAA